AACUUUGCAUCAGGACACUCCAGCUCAACAUCAGGCACCUCCACAUCCACACUGGGGCCUGUUAAAUCUCCCUCCAAUUUUGGCAAAGACACAUCCACAUCCCCUUUGACUUUGGGGCCUUUCAAGUGUAAGUCCACAUCAGGCAUGGAGAUCUUGGGGGUCUUGAAGUGCAUCUCAGGCAUCUUAAACUUGGGCCCUUUCAACUUUGCAUCAGGACACUCCAGCUCAACAUCAGGCACCUCCACACCCACACUGGGACCUGUUAAAUCUCCCUCCAAUUUUGGCACCGACACAUCCACAUCCCCUUUGACUUUGGGGCCUUUCAAGUGUAAGUCCACAUCAGGCAUGGAGAUCUUGGGGGCCUUGAAGUGCAUCUCAGGCAUCUUAAACUUGGG
rnacentral:lncRNA from 1 species